UCCUGGGUGGCUCAGAUGGUAAAGCAUCUGCCUACAAUGCAGGAGACCCCAGUUCAAUCCCUGGGUCAGGAA
rnacentral:tRNA from 1 species